rnacentral:rRNA from 1 species
CCUACGGGAGGCUGCAGUGGGGAAUCUUGCACAAUGGAGGAAACUCUGAUGCAGCGACGCCGCGUGAGCGAUGAAGCCCCUCGGGGUGUAAAGCUCUUUCGACGGGAAAGCGGUACCCGAAGAAGAAGCUGCGGCUAACUACGUGCCAGCAGCCGCGGUAAUACGUAGGCAGCGAGCGUUGUUCGGAAUUACUGGGCGUAAAGAGUGUGUAGGUGGUGCUCUAAGUUUGGUGUGAAAUCUCCCGGCUUAACUGGGAGGGUGCGCCGAAAACUGGAGUGCUUGAGUAUGGGAGAGGUAAGCGGAAUUCCUGGUGUAGCGGUGAAAUGCGUAGAUAUCAGGAGGAACACCUGUGGUGUAGACAGCUUACUGGACCAUACUGACACUGAGACACGAAAGCGUGGGUAGCAAACAGGAUUAGAUACCCUUGUAGUC